rnacentral:rRNA from 1 species
GACGAACGCUGGCGGCGUGCCUAAUACAUGCAAGUAGAACGCACAGUUUAUACCGUAGCUUGCUACACCAUAAACUGUGAGUUGCGAACGGGUGAGUAACGCGUAGGUAACCUGCCUGGUAGCGGGGGAUAACUAUUGGAAACGAUAGCUAAUACCGCAUAAUAUUGAUUAUUGCAUGAUAAUUGAUUGAAAGAUGCUAUUGCAUCACUACCAGAUGGACCUGCGUUGUAUUAGCUAGUAGGUGAGGUAACGGCUCACCUAGGCGACGAUACAUAGCCGACCUGAGAGGGUGAUCGGCCACACUGGGACUGAGACACGGCCCAGACUCCUACGGGAGGCAGCAGUAGGGAAUCUUCGGCAAUGGACGAAAGUCUGACCGAGCAACGCCGCGUGAGUGAAGAAGGUCUUCGGAUCGUAAAGCUCUGUUGUAAGAGAAGAACGGGUGUGAGAGUGGAAAGUUCACACUGUGACGGUAUCUUACCAGAAAGGGACGGCUAACUACGUG